UGAAAUGCGAAAAGUAAUGCGAUUUGCAUGAAUCUGUGAGUCAUCAAGUCUUUGAACGCACCUUGCACCGUAUGAGCAAUCGUACGGUAUACCUGUUUGAGAAUCGUAAAAACGCCUCUUACCAGUUUGGUAGGGAGUUGUCGUCGGAUGCGCAAGCACCCCCCGAUUAAAAGUAGUAGGUCUGGUCAGGCUAGUGGCCUGGGACAUUGUGUGAUAGAGACGUCGCUUCGGCUGACUGUCUUCUCAUGAUGCGUCCCUAGCUAUUCAAGCUGGUCUGGUUCAGGUCUCCACAGUCUUCGGACACCCCCAAUUUUGAUCUCAAAUCAGGUAAGGCUACCCGCUGAACUUAA
rnacentral:misc_RNA from 1 species